GCCAGAAUGACAUAGUGGUUUGAGUGCUGGACUACAACUCUAGAGACCAGGGUUUGAUUCCCAACUUGGCCA
rnacentral:tRNA from 1 species